rnacentral:rRNA from 1 species
UGGGGAAUAUUGCACAAUGGGCGCAAGCCUGAUGCAGCCAUGCCGCGUGUGUGAAGAAGGCCUUCGGGUUGUAAAGCACUUUCACCGGGGAGGAAGGCGAUAAGGUUAAUAACCUUGUCGAUNGACGUUACCCGCAGAAGAAGCACCGGCUAACUCCGUGCCAGCAGCCGCGGUAAUACGGAGGAUGCAAGCGUUAAUCGGAAUUACUGGGCGUAAAGCGCACGCAGGCGGUCUGUCAAGUCGGAUGUGAAAUCCCCGGGCUCAACCUGGGAACUGCAUUCGAAACUGGCAGGCUAGAGUCUUGUAGAGGGGGGUAGAAUUCCAGGUGUAGCGGUGAAAUGCGUAGAGAUCUGGAGGAAUACCGGUGGCGAAGGCGGCCCCCUGGACAAAGACUGACGCUCAGGUGCGAAAGCGUGGGGAGCAAACAGGAUUAGAUACCCUGGUAGUCCACGCUGUAAACGAUGUCGAUUUGGAGGUUGUGCCCUUGAGGCGUGGCUUCCGGAGCUAACGCGUUAAAUCGACCGCCUGGGGAGUACGGCCGCAAGGUUA